GCAAGAUUACCAGAUCUAAGGUUUGUGUAAUAACAGUACAAGUCAUGAAGCUGUGAAGUCGUUGGUACUGUUGUCAGUCCCUAAGCCUGCAGAGCAGUUGUUUUUUUGCUGUCUGAAACUGAAAUCUCAUCUGCAAGCCAUUGCUUCUAAGUGAGUGGCUGCAGGAACCGGAGGUGUGAAGCUUUGUAAUGACUUGCCAUAUGACCUCUCGCCUUGCUGUGCUAGGAAAGGAAGUAAAGCUGAGAAUUCCUGGUCCCCAGCCCUUGAUUUAAACUUCUCCAUCUUAAGCAUACCUCAGAAACCGAGAAGUCUGCAUACCUGUUGCUUGAUUGCAGGAACACGUCAGGUACCCAGUGUUGGUCUGAGCUGCAGAGAGCAAAAAGAGAGGGAAGAUGCAGACAACCGUCUGUAUCCCUAUUUGAGAAAACAGUUUGAAAUGUAAAGAAUAUUCUUCAUCAAGGAAGAGAAAGACUUAAAGAACAGAAGACUUUACGUGAAGCAAAGUAAGAAUUGGGACAUUGUGAAGCAUGUCCUGAUGUUGUUUCAGAAUUAAACUGUGAAGUGCUAUCGACCUAGACUUGUGGAGGGCACCACAGAAGCAUGUUGUGUAGUGUCUAUGGAGUAAGAUUCUUAUUCUACCUUGAAAGGAGAACCUUAAAUAUCAUGGAUUAAUGCCAGAUUGGUCAACGGAAGUUUUGGACCUUAGCUGCCAGAGAGCUGCGUGCAUGGUGUUACCAUCACAUCCACUGAAUGUGCUGGAGCUUUCCUGUCAAGGUUUUAAUUUCCUGCCAGUGAUUUUAUUUUUAAUUUUUUUGAGACAUUAGAAGGUCUUUAGCCAUGACUGUGUAUCAGCAGCUGAAAGAAUUUGUGAGGGUGAAUGUAACUAUUUGCUCCGAAAAAACCUACAUAGCUCUUUUCACUCCUUUUGACGAGUAUCCAUGAAUACAUUUAAGUUUUAAAGAGCCCCAGAGUAGUUCUUACUGCUGUAUUUGACCAACGCAUUGUCUGGACUGCUCUCCAUUUGUAAGUGAUGAGAGCUUUUCCAUGCAGGCAGCCCAACCACUGGAAGGUCAGCAGUCUGAUGCUGGCUUCAAAACCACGAGAUUGGUAAGUUAGAGGACAGCAUUUUAAAGUUAAAUUUCAUAACUUCUGAUAUUGUAAUUGUUUUCUGAUCAGUUAUGGUUGUCACUAUCAACUACGUUUUCCUCUUUUGUUCUUCUCUCCUUCCCCUUCCAUUUCCCUAUAUCUGUUGUCAACCAUUUACUAUAGUGGUAAAACUGCUUUUUUGCAGAAUUUUGUUACACCAGAAUGUUGGCUCUUGGAGUAUUUCUGAUACAGUUCCUGAUGAAAAGAUUAAGUAUUGAAUUCAGUGAGGCAGUUCCAAGCAGGUUUUUACAUUAUUUGAAUAGAACCAAAGCCUGCUUACUUGACUCCCCUGGAACAAAAGAAAUUUCAGUAUUUUCUGGGACUGUCACUGAAUGGUAUAUCUGUUGUCAAAGUCUGUGGUACUCGCUUCUGUCUUUGGAAAUCUUUAGACCUCACAUAAAUGAACACCUCACAGAAAUAUAUGUCGCAUAUUUAGCAGUGGAGAGAUGCUAUAGCUCGAUGACAGAGCCACUCUUUGAAAAGGUUCUCACCAUGUGUUCCCAAGAGACACAUCUCAUUAAAAUGAAAUGCAAGGAAAGCACGAACAUAUCGAGAAUAGUGGUCAGUGUAUUUCAAAGGCAACAGGCUACGCCAAAAAAAAACAUUGUAGUCAUGCUUCCAGCUUAAAACAACAUUUGAAAAGCAUACUGAAAAACUUUCUACUUCAGUUUCAGUUGAGUGCCAGUGUGAGUUUUCAGGCUUAAGUACUUAUCUGAACACAUUAUAGAAAAUAUAGAGUUAAGAAAAAACUGUCCUAAUAUUGGACCACUUUUGCUAUCUAGGCUGCUUGAAAAAUAGGUUUUUCUUCAAGAGAGAGCAGGAAGAAGGACCUAGAAAAUAGCUUUUAAAAAGAAUUACUUUUAUUUUUUAAAAAGGGGGAGUCUAAAUUGGAGAAACAAGUCAAUCACGUCUAUAUGCAAUAACGGAUCACGUAUUAUCCUUUUGGAAACGGUUGAAAACCUAAAAAAGAAAUUCAUUUUCCUUACAAUAGUAGUAGCUAACUGGAAAGCUGGUGAUGAAAACCCUUGUUUUAGGCAUAACAGUCUUAGCUGUAGAGUCUUUUUAACAACAUUACAGAGCAGCUACAUACUGUAUGAAGUCUGUUCUGCUAAAUAUUGCUUCUUUGAGAAAUUAUUAGCAGAAUAAGUAUGGCACAGAAUUGAUAAAAAAACCAAAUCAAAAUAAAUGUUCUUUUAGAACACAUUUGUAUGGAUAAUCAGGGAAAACAGUAUGAACCGGAAAGGAAUGAACAGGAAGAAUGAAAGGGAUGGUAGUAAAGCUGUCUGGUUUAGGUGACUUCUAGCAAAAGAUGACAUCCAAAAUACCUAGCUAAUUUGGGUGGGAACUAACUACAAAUCAGCUGAACUGAGUGGUACUCAGAAGUAAAUAUAAAGGCUUGUGUUUCUGAUCAGUCCUGUGUUGCCAUCUGUCCCUGCUGAAGAGAGCAUAGCAACCCUUAGCAGCUCUGCAUGGCUGCCUGCUUGGGCCAUUACCUGAGCAUCUGUUUUGUUUGUUGGAUUUCAGUGACAGAGAGUACAGAACUCUAGAAGGAGUACCUGUAUAAAUUAAGGAAUAACCUGUCUAACAGGAGGGGAAGGAGGGAUGCUGCCCUUCUAUUGCUCCUAUACAUUACGCUGUCCAUCCCAGACACUCAACUUGUUUUUCUCUUUGGCUGCACAUUUAGUUUCUUGAGCUGUGUCUCUGUGUGCUAAUUCAAGCUGGAAAACUGGAUGUUAUUCUAUGUAAUUGGUUCCAUUUAUUUCUAAAGAUGAGAGGUGUGAGCUUCUGGGUUUUACAUGGUGACGUGAGAUGUGCUGGUAGAUGUAGGUUACAGCUGUGCAUUGAGCCCCAAUGGAGCACGGAUCCCAGCACACUCCAGACUGUCCAGCUUCAACAGAACAAAACUUUAGCUGUCCUGUCUGCAGCAGGGUUUUGCGAUGUGCUAGAGAAAAUAAAACCAAAGCACUGGAAGGGGGCAGUAAAUGAAAUUUCUGUUUUAAGUUUCACAGCCAAACUAAAAUGUUCUGAAGAAUAACGAACUAAACUAAUUUCUGGAAAUUGUUUAGUGCUUCCAAAUGACACUGCAUGUUGACUUCCUUUUUCUGGAAAGUGCCUGAAGUUUCUUAAGCUGCCUGAUGGGAGGCAAUGGAAGCCCUCACUCCCGUUGGCAGCUAUGUCAGGGGAAAAUGUAGGUAUUCUUCAAAGACCAAUCUCAUCCUCCCUCUCUUUUUACUAGGCUGCUUUCUGCAUUGGGUAUCAAUGAGUCACAUUACCUUCUAGAAAACAAAACAAAAAAACAGCCGGACUAAUUUCAAAACCUGCCAUUGGAGAAAUAAUGUGUGAAGACCUUCUGACUGGAGAUGGAGGAAGGAAGGUACAUUUGCUCAGCAUGAGAUACUUUAGAUGUGCAUUCAUGAAGGGUGUAAACAGCCUCACCUGCGGUCUCAGCCUCCACAUAAGGCAGCUGAGCUUCCUUUGUAGGUAGCAAGGCCCCGCACCAGGCAACUGAGAACACCUGAAGUAAGAGAAUCCUUAUCAGCUGGCAAAGGGGGGCCUCUUCCAUCUCUGGAUCCUCUGGAUAUCUGGAGGCUUGCUUUCAUGGGAAGUGACUAAAAUUGGGUGAUGCUAAUUAUCCUUCAUGUGUAAAUUUUUAAACUAAUAAAUUGUUUCAAGUCUUCUAUGAAAUAUCAUGGAGACACUUAAUUUCUGUUGGUUUCAUUUCCCAAGAAUAUUUUUCUUUCUUUCAUUCUCAUAAACCAGCCUUACCUAGUUUUCAAAUCUCAUUCCUUGCACAGCUACCUUAUAAUCACCAAAGCAUUACUUCAAGGUUUGGCCUUAUCACAGGAGAAUCAGAGAUGAUACACAGUGAGAAAUAGUGCUUACUAAAUUUAAACAUCAAGGCAAAUUGUUAUCUACAUGCAAGACAGCUUUAUUUUUAUGAUCAUUUAUUCAUUGCACUUCUAGUGUACCGGGAGCUGUGCAGCACAUAUUGCUAGGUAUGCUCUCUGCCCUUUGAAUAUUGAUGUUUUGGAAUUCUCCUGAGAGUGAAAGGCGGAUUGAUCUACUCUUGAAGCUUGACAAGCAAUAUUCUUAUUUAUCUUUUUAGAAUGAAGAAACAAAAUGCAAUCACCAUUCUUUCCAAGCAUCUGGAAAAAUGUAUAUGGCAGAUAUGAACAGUUGCAAUUCUCAUCCUCUUUUAAUCACACUGGAUAGGCAUACUUACAGAUUUUAUGAUCUGAUUGCCUUCUUCGUAUAAUGUAAUUCAUCACCACAGAUGGGGAUAAGCGCUGCAGGAAAACUGCUAUGAAAUGUAAAGUAUACAUUAUUCUUUGAGGUGUUGCAUUUAUCUGUUUAAUAAACCUGG
ensembl:lncRNA